AUGUUAGUGGCAGAGUGUCGAGGUCACAAGCUGCUGCAUUCAGGGGGGAAGCAUUACACAAGCCAGAAUGUGCUUGCUACUGUUGACUUCGAUCUGAAGUUCACCUAUGUGCUGGCUGGCUAGGAAGGGUCAACACAUGAUGCUAACAUACUGAGUGACAACAUCAGUUGUCCUGAUGGCAUCAACAUCCUCGAUGGCAAGUUCUACCUCAGAUAUGCCGGCUUUGCAUGUUGGCCAGGUGUUCUUCCACCCUUCAGGAAGACCAGGUACCAUCUGAACAAGUUCUCUGGUAGGAACUACCCUAGGACUCCACGGGAGUUGUUCAAUCUCAGACACUCCAGCCUUCAAGUAACGGUUGAGAGGGCAUUUGGAGCUCUCAAGAACAUAUUCAAGAUCUUGGAUCAGAAGCCAUUCCACCCUUAUCCUACCUAG
rnacentral:rRNA from 1 species